rnacentral:rRNA from 1 species
GUGGGGAAUAUUGCACAAUGGGCGAAAGCCUGAUGCAGCAACGCCGCGUGAGGGACGACGGCCUUCGGGUUGUAAACCUCUUUUAGUAGGGAAGAAGCGAAAGUGACGGUACCUGCAGAAAAAGCACCGGCUAACUACGUGCCAGCAGCCGCGGUAAUACGUAGGGUGCAAGCGUUAUCCGGAAUUAUUGGGCGUAAAGAGCUCGUAGGCGGUCUGUCGCGUCUGCUGUGAAAACUGGAGGCGCAACCUCCAGCCUGCAGUGGGUACGGGCAGACUAGAGUGCGGUAGGGGAGAGUGGAAUUCCUGGUGUAGCGGUGGAAUGCGCAGAUAUCAGGAGGAACACCGAUGGCGAAGGCAGAUCUCUGGGCCGUAACUGACGCUGAGGAGCGAAAGCGUGGGGAGCGAACAGGAUUAGAUACCCCAGUAGUCC